rnacentral:rRNA from 1 species
UACGUAGGGUGCAAGCAUUGUCCGGAUUUAUUGGGCGUAAAGAGCUCGUAGGCGGCUUGUCACGUCGGGUGUGAAAACUCGGGGCUCAACCCCGAGCCUGCACUCGAUACGGGCUAGCUAGAGUGUUGCAGGGGAGACUGGAAUUCCUGGUGUAGCGGUGAAAUGCGCAGAUAUCAGGAGGAACACCGGUGGCGAAGGCGGGUCUCUGGGCAACUACUGACGCUGAGGAGCGAAAGCGUGGGGAGCAAACAGG